AAAGAGACAAGCAUAAGUUCCAUUUUGGUAACAGCAAAUGCAUAUUUUUGCUCGCACAACCUGCCUCCUCUGUCAGCUGUACCUGCACUUCUGUCUGCUCUUUGGCUGAUAAAAUGCCACUGACGUCAACUAUAGCAAAGCUCCGUGCUUGAUAUCUGUGCAAAGAGGAAGAGGAUCAGGGCCACACACAAACAAAUGUCAGUCAUCAAGGGCUAAGUGCUCAGAGGAAAGAGCAUGGCUGCAACGGCAAACAGCUCAGCUAGGGUGCCAGCAGCAUCACGUGGAGAUGGCACUGGAGGGCUCUCACUGUUUGUGAAAGGAUAUUUCACCAAAGGAGCUGAGCUUGGCUGGAAGAAGAAUCCCACGUCCUUUGGCUUCGCGGGUCAGCUCACUGAUUGGUACGAAUGGCACUUCUCUGUCAGCUCCAGCAACGUCUGUCACCCCAGGAUGUGCUCCCCUGCUGGGCUGCAGCUUACAAGGUUGGCAACAGAGCAAGUGGGAAGACCUCUUAACAUUCUGUAUGAAGCUGGGAGCAAACGGAGCACAAGAGAACCAAAAAUCUCAAAUAGGGCAAAGAUUUUCAGACGUGUUUAAGUGGCAUUAUAUGAGCUGCGGUUCAUUUUUGCUCUUAAAACUUUGAUACAGCUGUAAUAUUUCUUUCAACUCCCAAAGACAAAUUACAGCAUAU
rnacentral:lncRNA from 7 species